rnacentral:tRNA from 1 species
GCCUCUGUAGUUUAAUGGAUAAAACGUCGGGCUUCGAACCCGAAAAUGCAGGUUCGAUUCCUGCCGGAGGCA